rnacentral:SRP_RNA from 1 species
GGGCAAGCUAGACUGGGAGGUUAGCGCUCUCCUGUCACUGUAAACACGCUUUAGACAGGGUCGAAGCCCAGGAAGAGAUAUAGGCAUAGUAUGCCAGUCUUGGUUUGGACAAUGAGGCUUUGUCCUAUUGGACUAUUGUCUUAAGGAAUUGGGUCAGGAUGGGAACAUAGCAGCCCUAACUUCUGAUAUUGGUGCUUAUGGGGUAGCGGAGCUAAGGAAGAAUCAAGGUCACUGGUGUAUUAUGUUUGUAUCGAUUUCUGGGCGUGCUUGCCC